rnacentral:rRNA from 1 species
UACGGAGGAUGCAAGCGUUAUCCGGAAUUAUUGGGCGUAAAGCGUUCGUAGGUGGCUAAUCAAGUCUGCUGUCAAAGCGUGGAGCUUAACUCCAUAUCGGCGGUGGAAACUGAUGAGCUAGAGUGCGAUAGGGGUAGCAGGAAUUCCCAGUGUAGCGGUGAAAUGCGUAGAGAUUGGGAAGAACACCAGCGGCGAAAGCGUGCUACUGGGUCUGCACUGACACUGAGGGACGAAAGCUAGGGGAGCGAAAGGG